rnacentral:rRNA from 1 species
GCUUGACUGUAGCUUGUAAUUGGGUUCGGGCUUUUUUUGCGCAGCCUAGGUGGGAGGCAACGAUGAUUUUUUUCCGGAAAAAUUUGAGCCGUUAGUGAGAGACCACUCUGAAAAGGCUAGAAUCCUAAUAAUGAUCCUUGAAUCAGGACAUUUGACAGUUGCAGGUGGGCAGUUUUACUGGGGCGGUAUUCUCCUAAAAAGUAACGGAGGGGUGCAAAGGUUCCCUCAGGCUGGACGGAAAUCAGCUUAAGAGUGUAAAGGCAAAAGGGAGCUUGACUGCAAGACCUACAAGUCGAGCAGGGGCGAAAGCCGGCCUUAGUGAUCCGACGGUACCACGUGGAAGGGCCGUCGCUCAACGGAUAAAAGUUA